CUGGAAGGGGGGUGGGGCUGUAACACAUUUCCUGCUAGACAGGCAAGUCUUGUCAAAGAAACCUUUACUCUGACUCUUGUAAGCUUGUCUAGGCUGAAGGUGGGUGAUGAACGAAGGGAUCCAGGACCCAUCUGUAGCUAUCUCUUAGCUUUCGACUUCAGAGAAAAUCCUGAGACACCAGCGACAUUCCCAUUUAACAGAGACACACUGUGGGGUGGUUUAUUGGGAAAAUGUCCCAGGCAGGAACAGUCCAGCCAUGGAGGAACGUGAACUUGAAUUUGAACUCUUUGGAUUCAUGAACUGAGACUCCCUCACUCCUCAGGGAAGCUCCCACAGCUGCAGCUGAUGCUGUCACGGGCCGUUUCCCCCAGCUGGUUUGAGUUUCUACCAGCACAUUUUGAGCUUUAGGAUCUGGAGGGAAACCACUGGAGAGCAGGAAUCGAAUGGAAAGGUUGUGAGGCCGAUUAAAGCAAUGUCUGCUGCCCGCUGUGGGCCGGAACAUGCGAUAAAGAAGAAACAGGUUCAUUGACAAAAGCUGGUCAUGGCGACUGGCCACGUGUAUGCCACCAGGAAACAGGACAUCAGUGGGUGUGACUCACCUCCUGCCUCAGCCUCAACCUGUGAUGAUAAUGAGCUUGUGGAGAGAGAGAGAGAAAUCUUCUUCUGCCCUGUUCUCGUGAUACCUUCUUUUGGGCUCUGUGUUGAUGCCGCAAGACAGGAGUUACUGAAGUGCAACACACCUGCCUGGAUGCCAGACUUUACUCAGAAAUCACCUCCUCGGAGAGGCCUUCAUGACCAUGCAUUCAAAAAAUAAAUCUGUCUUAGACAUUAGUCCAUUACUAAUGUUCACAAAUAUUGGCUUCAAUUACACCUCAAUAAAGCAGAAAAAAAGAAUAUUGGUUUCUUCUCAAGAUCUCUGGCCUCGAAGGAUCACGUUUCCCUGAGUUCUGGAAUUUAGGUGCAGAUGCCGACUAGUUCUGGCCGAUGAACUGGGAGCAGAAGUGCCACGUGUCCCUCUAGAUUGUGGGUGCUUGCCUCUCAGGUCUUCUGCUCACCUGCUGUGGUGGACCCGGAAGCCUCAUGUGGAGCUGGCAGCAUUGGAAACUGGUGGACCCUAAGCAGGACUGUGGGGAAGCACACGGCAGAGGCUUCUAACUCGGAUGGUGGGACCCCAGGGAAGAUUGGAGGAAAUCAGUUCUAAGCUGAGUCCUGAAGACUGAGCAGGAACCAAGCAUUCAAGCCUCCUAGUCCACACCCACAACAGACCUCAUGAGAGCAAAAUAGAAACUUCCAGUGUGCUGAGGCCCUGAGACGUCGGCAGUGUUUGUUUCCGCAGUGCAAGCUCAGUGUAUCCUGACUGGUCCAACAGCCCCCAGCCCCGCUCUUCUCUGAGUCCUUAAUCUGCUCUAUUUUUCUUCGUAGCACUUAAUACUACCUUGUAUAAAGUUACGCAUUGAUUUACUGAUUUGUUUAUCAUCUAUUUUCCUCCAAAUGGCAUCAGGGCAAGGAUUCCAUGGAGUCUUUGUUCUCUGCUGUAUCGCUGUGGUCUAGCACAGAGGCUGGCCCACAGUAGAUGCUCAACGAAUACUUUAGAAUGAAUGACUGGAUAAAUGAAAGGCUGCCCAUGCCUGUCACAGCCUUACCACACAGCGUUAUGGUGUUUCUAUGGACAUUUAUCCAUUUAACCAAUAUUUCUCAGGCAUACCUGUUAUGUGCCAAACAGACCAUGGGGAUAGAGCAGGAAAUUUCUCAAUGAAUUAUAUGUCUGUCUCCCCUGCAAUGAGUACCUGAAGGCCAGAGAUUGUACUUUUCGUGUUUAUGUCCCUGGUUCCUGCACAGAGCUGACAUCCAGUAAUGUGUGUUGAAUAAAGAAACGACUCAACAAGUCCGUGAGGAAGGCAUCAUUAGAGAAAGACCAGGCAUGACUUGUGUCGCGGCAUCACCCUGAAACAUGUGUUCUCGCCAGGAGGCGUCAUUCUCUUCAGCUAUGAUGCAGAUGCAGCAUAUGGGUCAUUAUGCACAUCCAGCAGACUGUAAGUCCCCUGAGGGCAGGGCCGUGUUUCUUUCAUCGAUGUUUCAUCGCUGGCAACGGCACAAUGCCUGGCCUAUUGCCAUAGGAACUCACUACAUGUAUGGAAUGAAUGAAUGAAUUUAACUAGCAACUUUUGUGUAUGUGUCCAUUUCUUUAUGAUACACUUUCUUGAGCAUUUUGUCCUUUGAGAUAUGCCUGGUGGGAAGGCCUGUCCGUGUCCUGAAGACUGUGCCAGAGUGUGACAGUCCUGUCCUUUUCACCUGAAAAGUUCACUUGAACUUCCUUCUUCCUUCCUUCUCCUUUUUGGGGUUUGCAAGUUCAGCACUUACAAGCGGCUGCCCAUUUUCCAG
rnacentral:lncRNA from 1 species